rnacentral:tRNA from 1 species
GGUCGGUUAGCUCAGUUGGUUAGAGCGUGGUGCUAAUAUCUUCUUCAUGAUAUACCUGGGACGCCAAGGCCGCGGGUUCGACCCCCGUACUGACCA